rnacentral:rRNA from 1 species
UGCUGGAGGUAUCAGAAGUGCGAAUGCUGACAUGAGUAACGACAAAGGGGGUGAAAAACCUCCUCGCCGGAAGACCAAGGGUUCCUGUCCAACGUUAAUCGGGGCAGGGUGAGUCGACCCCUAAGGUGAGGCCGAAAGGCGUAAUCGAUGGGAAACGGGUUAAUAUUCCCGUACUUCUGACUAUUGCGAUGGGGGGACGGAGAAGGCUAGGUGGGCCAGGCGACGGUUGUCCUGGUUCAAGUGCGUAGGCUUGAGAGUUAGGUAAAUCCGGCUCUCUCUAAGGUUGAGACACGACGUCGAGCUGCUACGGCAGUGAAGUCAUUGAUGCCAUGCUUCCAGGAAAAGCCUCUAAGCUUCAGAUAGUCAGGAAUCGUACCCCAAACCGACACAGGUGGUCGGGUAGAGAAUACCAAGGCGCUUGAGAGAACUCGGGUGAAGGAACUAGGCAAAAUGGUACCGUAACUUCGGGAGAAGGUACGCUCUUGAUGGUGAAGUCCCUCGCGGAUGGAGCUGACGAGAGUCGCAGAUACCAGGUGGCUGCAACUGUUUAUUAAAAACACAGCACUGUGCAAAAUCGCAAGAUGACGUAUACGGUGUGACGCCUGCCCGGUGCCGGAAGGUUAAUUGAUGGGGUUAGCGCAAGCGAAGCUCUUGAUCGAAGCCCCGGUAAACGGCGGCCGUAACUAUAACGGUCCUAAGGUAGCGAAAUUCCUUGUCGGGUAAGUUCCGACCUGCACGAAUGGCGUAAUGAUGGCCACGCUGUCUCCACCCGAGACUCAGUGAAAUUGAAAUCGCUGUGAAGAUGCAGUGUACCCGCGGCUAGACGGAAAGACCCCGUGAACCUUUACUACAGCUUGGCACUGAACAUUGAACCUACAUGUGUAGGAUAGGUGGGAGGCUAUGAAGACGUGACGCCAGUUGCGUUGGAGCCGUCCUUGAAAUACCACCCUUGUAUGUUUGAUGUUCUAACUUAGACCCAUUAUCUGGGUUGAGGACAGUGCCUGGUGGGUAGUUUGACUGGGGCGGUCUCCUCCCAAAGAGUAACGGAGGAGCACGAAGGUGGGCUAAUCACGGUUGGACAUCGUGAGGUUAGUGCAAUGGCAUAAGCCCGCUUAACUGCGAGAAUGACGGUUCGAGCAGGUGCGAAAGCAGGUCAUAGUGAUCCGGUGGUUCUGUAUGGAAGGGCCAUCGCUCAACGGAUAAAAGGUACUCCGGGGAUAACAGGCUGAUACCGCCCAAGAGUUCAUAUCGACGGCGGUGUUUGGCACCUCGAUGUCGGCUCAUCACAUCCUGGGGCUGAAGUCGGUCCCAAGGGUAUGGCUGUUCGCCAUUUAAAGUGGUACGCGAGCUGGGUUUAGAACGUCGUGAGACAGUUCGGUCCCUAUCUGCCGUGGGCGUUGGAAGAUUGAAGGGGGCUGCUCCUAGUACGAGAGGACCGGAGUGGACGAACCUCUGGUGUUCGGGUUGUGUCGCCAGACGCAUUGCCCGGUAGCUAAGUUCGGAAUUGAUAAGCGCUGAAAGCAUCUAAGCGCGAAGCGAGCCCUGAGAUGAGUCUUCCCUGA